GUGAGAGAGCGACAGAGAGAGAGAGAGUGAGUGAGUGAGUGAGAGAGAGACAGAGAGUGAGUGAGUGAGAGAGAGAGAGAGGAGAGAGAGUGAGUGAGUGAGCGAGAGAGAGAGAGAGCGCAUCCCUACACAUCUCUCCAUCACAGAAGUCUGGAUGCUGUGACUGGAAUAUAUUUUGCCAUUUUAUUUCAACGUGACUUUCUUGAGCUCAGCACCUGAGAGACUUGUUUGUGUUUACUUCUAACUUAAAACAUGAUGUGUGUGGUUUUUGUUUUUCUUGCUGUUUGAUGAUGUUCUCAGCACUUUCUCAGCACUGAAACAGACAGCUUGAGCAUCAGUUGCGGUGUAAAGCUCGAGCAGACACAGGUAGGUAGGCUGCACCUGUACAGUACACACAUGAAUCGUGACGCUGAGGAACUGCCUGAUUAGCGGCGCGGGGUUUCUUCUUCUUUCUCCCUCCACGUCUUCCCUUCUCCGCAGUGAGUGUGUGUGUGUGUGUGUGUGUGUGUAACAAGGACCAGCUCGUCGCUCGGUUUAACAAAAACACACCGGAGUGAGAGCUGUAAGAUUUAUUUUAUUUUAUUUAUUUAUUUUAAAAAGAAGAAUUCAUCUCCUACAUUGUGACGAUAUAGCAGCCUGACUGAAGACCAAACAUGCGCGCGCGUGCCAACAUCAACAUAACACCGAGAGUUACCUGAGAGGAAAAGGGCGGGAAGCGCGCGCUGGAUUGAAGGAAGGAAAAAAAAAAAACAAAAAAAACAAAACACCACCAACCGCCAAAAAACCGUUGCGCUCUUUUCGCGCGCGCACAACAGCGAACUUAAACCAUGGGGUGAAGAGAAGAAAUGGAGCACUUAGCUGAACGGAUGUUCGUCUGAGAAGAUGUGAAACCUGCUAUUGACUAUGUGCAUCUAUGUCUACGUUGAAGAAAAUUUGCCUGUUAUUAUUGCAAGUCUCCAAUAUGCCUCAAGGCAUCAACACUGACGAUGACCCGGUCUGUAACUGUGGUCAGUUUAGCUGAACAUUCAUAGAUGGUUUCUACUACUGAGUCCAUCAAAAUCACCAUCUUGCUCUUCCAUUGAUAAUCCUUUAAUUUAUCAACACCC